rnacentral:lncRNA from 1 species
CACUGCAACGCAGCGUCUCACUCUUUCGAGGAACCAGGGUUACAUACGUAAACUUAGACGUUCCUCUUCAGGAACUCAAGCUGCAUGGAGAACACUUUGGGGAACGUGUUGUAGAAAAAUGUAUUUACUUAUUUACUUUCUUAGACAUUUAGUGGGUUUUCAUAUAUUUUUAUUUUUCCUUUGAUUUAACUUGUGUUUCUCUCUCAGUAUGUAUGUUUGUCACCUGAAAUGCAACGAAGACAUCACACAGUAAAAUAAAGAGCCUUCGAAGUCUAUAGUGCGGUCUAUGUACUCAGGAAAGAUCAGAGGGGUUAGCCAUAAAUAAAGACCUUUGACCUCACGGGUGUGAAGAUAAUUAAAAAGCCCAGGGGGUUAGGAGGACCAUUGUGUUUUCUGAAAACAGCUAGUUUUGGUUUACGGGGUUAAGUGGAAAUUUACAGAGAAGGAGCCUUGUAAGAAGUGGGGGUGGAUAACAGUAUAAUAAGGCUGUCUGUUUUCAGUGUGAUUCGGGUUUGUUGUGUUUCAGGGUAUGAAUGAAUGACCAUAUGAAUUUGAAUGAAUGAAUGACCAUAUGAAUUUCCCCUUGUGGGACAAUAAAGUUCACCUUGGUAGCUGCUGCAACAGUGAACGAACCUCUUUAAGGAAAAUAAACUUCUUUCCUUAAAUAUAAUUUGAUUCCUUGUCUCUUACACUGAGAUGCUAUUUGUUAGUAAUUGUUUUUGCCACAACAAUUUGGUGUCAGAAUAGUGGGAUCUCACGGUGGUUUUGUGGAAGAUUUUUAUUAAUAAGAUUUUAAUCAAUCAAGAAUAAUCAAUGUGAAUCUAGCCAUUUUUGUUGCUAGUUGUUUUUCCAUUAUAAUCCUAUAGGUAAAGGAUAGAAAGGAAUAUGCUUACAUGCUGGAAUGUUCAGAACUGAUGAGAAACAUGUGGUCAGACAUACAGAAAGGGCCUUUCUUCAUACCAAAACAAGUAGGGGCCUCUCCUCUCUAGGGAGGAAUCAUAAUUGCAAGCAUAAGGAAAGUCUGACCAAUGGAAAUGCCCUGUAUAGGGUAUAUAAUGAGAUGCUACCUAGCAUUCGAGAGAUCUCCUUGCAAGGAACUCUCGGCUUUGUUUUGCUUAAAAUAAAGUAUUUUCUUCUGAGAGAAAAAUCCCUGACUGAGUUUGAUUCUUUGGAGAACCGGCAAAAUACGCCACAGAUUCUUCUGGUCCUGAGCGGAUUUGACAAAGUGAUCAUCUCAGAGCACCAGGCUCUGGUCUUACCUGGAAAAUUGAGAGACAAGAGCCAAAACUGCUUUCAGGGCCAGAGUGACUCAGAUGAGAUCAGAAAGAACCAGGUGGCAGUAAAAGCAUCUCAGGUAAGAGACUGUAAAUUGUUUAUUUUGAGUGGUGAUUUACAGAGAAGGAGCCUUGUAAGAAGUGGGGGUGAUAACAGUAUAAUAAGGCUGUCUGUUUUCAGUGUGAUUCUGGUUUGUUGUGUUUCAGGGUAGCUGCUGAAACAGUGAACGCACCUCUUUAAGGAAAAUAAACUUAUUUCCUUAAAUAUAAUUUGAUUCCUUGUCUCUUACACUGAGAUGCUUUUUGUUAGUAAUUGUUUUUGCCACAACAAACGAGAAUGCCCACACCACCAGACUUUCAAAUCUCUGCCUAGUGUGGAAGAGCACAGCUAAAGAAAGAGAAGAAGACAGUAGCCUGACAGUAAUCGGGGACAACCCAUCCAAUGGCCAAACUUCAGAAGGAGUGAGUCUUGACCCCCAGGAGAGGCGACAUCAGAGGACUCAAGGCUUAGGAUAGCAUCCUGAUCUCCGCUUAGCAUAAGCUUCU